GCCUCCCUCCGCCGCCACUCAGACUCCUACCGGAGGACAGCAGUGGGAAGUUUGUCGCAAUGGGGAAACCGUACGACGCAGCAACGCCGCCGUGGAGGAUGAAGUCCUUCGGACGUAACUCCUUUCGAUCGGGACGAUAAUGACGGUACCGGAAGAAGAAGCCCGGCUACUUCGUGCCGGCAGCCGCGGUAAUAC
rnacentral:rRNA from 1 species